rnacentral:rRNA from 1 species
UCGGGUGUCGCAGAUGUAUAAUCAUGCAGUCGUACAGGUAGCCGUAAUGACGUGCUUGCACUGAUUUCAACAAUGAAGCGAGUGGCGAACUGGUGAGUAACACGUGGGAAAUCUGCCCAGAAGCAGGGGAUAACACUUGGAAACAGGUGCUAAUACCGUAUAACAAUAAAAUCCGCAUGGAUUUUGUUUGAAAGGUGGCUUCGGCUAUCACUUCUGGAUGAUCCCGCGGCGUAUUAGUUAGUUGGUGAGGUAAAGGCCCACCAAGACGAUGAUACGUAGCCGACCUGAGAGGGUAAUCGGCCACAUUGGGACUGAGACACGGCCCAAACUCCUACGGGAGGCAGCAGUAGGGAAUCUUCCACAAUGGACGAAAGUCUGAUGGAGCAAUGCCGCGUGAGUGAAGAAGGGUUUCGGCUCGUAAAACUCUGUUGUUAAAGAAGAACACCUUUGAGAGUAACUGUUCAAGGGUUGACGGUCUUUAACCAGAAAGCCACGGCUAACUACGUGCCAGCAGCCGCGGUAAUACGUAUGUGGCAAGCGUUGUCCGGAUUUAUUGGGCGUAAAGCGAGCGCAUGCGGUUUUUUAAGUCUGAUGUGAAAGCCUUCGGCUUAACCGGAGAAGUGCUUCGGAACUGGUAGACUUGAGUGCAGAAGAGGACAGUGGAACUCCAUGUGUAGCGGUGUAAUGCGUAUAUAUAUGGAAGAACACCAGUGGCUAAGGCGGCUGUCUAGUCUGUAACUGACGCUGAGGCUCGAAAGCAUGGGUAGCGAACAGGAUUAGAUACCCUGGUAGUCUCUGCCGUAAACGAUGAGUGCUAAGUGUUUGAGGUUUCCGCCCUUCAGUGCUUGCACUUAACGCUUAUGCACUCCGUCUGGGAGUACGAUCCGCAGGUUGAUACUCAAAGGAUUUGACGGGCGCCCGCUCAAUUGGUGGAUCAUGUUGUUUAAUUUCGAAGUAUGUGAAGAACCUUUACUAGGUUUGGACUCUUCUGUCAU